rnacentral:rRNA from 1 species
AGUGAACGCUGGCGGUAGGCCUAACACAUGCAAGUCGAACGGCAGCACAGUAAGAGCUUGCUCUUACGGGUGGCGAGUGGCGGACGGGUGAGGAAUACAUCGGAAUCUACUUUUUCGUGGGGGCUAACGUAGGGACACUUACGCUAAUACCGCAUACGACCUACGGGUGAAAGCAGGGGAUCUUCGGACCUCGCGCGAUUGAAUGAGCCGAUGUCGGAUUAGCUAGUUGGCGGGGUAAAGGCCCACCAAGGCGACGAUCCGUAGCUGGUCUGAGAGGAUGAUCAGCCACACUGGAACUGAGACACGGUCCAGACUCCUACGGGAGGCAGCAGUGGGGAAUAUUGGACAAUGGGCGCAAGCCUGAUCCAGCCAUACCGCGUGGGUGAAGAAGGCCUUCGGGUUGUAAAGCCCUUUUGUUGGGAAAGAAAAGCAGCAGGUUAAUACCCCGCUGUUCUGACGGUACCAAAAGAAUAAGCACCGGCUAACUUCGUG